UGUUUUAGAAUCUUAAAUAAAAUAUUAAAUUGCAAAUUUAAUAAAAUUAUUUGAAUAUAAUUAAGAUUU
rnacentral:tRNA from 1 species